UGGCUGUAUCAAUUUUCUCAUGAUUGCUUGAGUUCACAUACAUCGUCAGGCUGCUGCACAUUUUGCAAUUUCCAAUCUGCGCCGUUACAAUAAUAGAAACCUUUUAUAUCAUGAAACUGCACGGCUGAGAUUAGUUUUCCUGGGCUACGCAUGAUAACAUGCGUAGACCGCCGGUACAGAGGACCGGCACGAUAGAUACAAGAAUGGUGUGUAUCUUCGAGGAGUGUGAAUCGAGACCCCAAACAAGCCCUUAGAUGGAGGAGAAGCGCAAGGAUACCGGGAAUCCGCCGGCGGGGAGUUCUGCGGCCGCCGGGACGCCCCAGAAGCCUGCGGAGGUGGCGCCGGCGGCCGAGGCACCUUCUUCGAGGCGGAGAGGCGGUGGGCAGAAGAGAAAAGCCGGCAGCGGCGGUGGCGGAAACGCAUCGACGCCACCAACGAGUUCAUCGAAGCGUCAAGCUCGUGAGAAGCCCUCGGUGGCGGCCUCUCACGCUCCGAUCCACAACGGUCCGUGCACCAGAGCUCGCCAGACGCCGAGCGGUGCCGCCGGAGUGGGGUCGUCCUCCGUGGGCGCGUCGUUUGGUGCAGCUAUGAAAAAUGAAAAGGAGGGGAUGGUGACACUGGAGUCUGGCGGUGGAGAGAAGGCAAAGGCGGGGGAGGAAACGGGGAUGGUUGAAGAGGAUUGGGAGGCGUUGGAGGAAAAGAUUGAAGCUGAAUAUGAAGCAAUUAGAUCUCGCGAUGUUAAUGCUCAUGUGGUUCCAGCUCCAGCCGGUUGGUUUUCAUGGACAAAGGUUCAUCCGUUAGAGGAACGAGCAUUGCCUUCCUUCUUCAAUGGCAGGUCAAAAGAUAGGACUCCUGAAAUGUAUAAGGAGAUACGUAACUGGAUUAUGAGAAAGUUUCAUGCUAACCCUAGUAUACUAAUUGAACUGAAAGAUUUAUCGGAGCUUUCCGUCGGGGAGUUGGAUGCUAGGCAAGAGGUGAUGGAGUUUUUGGACUAUUGGGGUUUAAUUAAUUACCAUCCAUUUCCAGAGAAUGAUACUGCCAUGGUGAGCUCUGACGGUGAUGGGGCAUCAAAGACAGAUUCUUUGGUUGAAAAGUUGUACUGCUUUGAAGCAGAACAAUCAUGUGUCCCAGUGGUUCCAAAAAAUAGCGUGACAACUCCAGCUGUGCCAUCUGGUUUGUUUCCAGAGUCUGCCAUCGCUGAAGAGUUGAUGAGGCCUGAGGGGCCAUCUGUUGAAUAUCAUUGCAAUUCUUGUUCAGCUGAUUGCUCACGCAAGCGCUACCAUUGCCAGAAGCAGGCAGAUUUUGAUUUAUGUUCUGAAUGCUUCAAUAAUGGGAAGUUUGACUCUGAUAUGUCCCCAAUGGAUUUCAUUCUCAUGGAGCCUGCAGAGGCUGCUGGUGUAAGUGGAGGGAAGUGGACUGACCAGGAGACUCUCCUCCUCCUUGAAGCAUUGGAACUUUAUAAAGAGAAUUGGAAUGAGAUUGCUGAGCAUGUUGCUACAAAAACAAAAGCUCAAUGUAUCUUGCAUUUUGUUCAAAUGCCAAUUGAAGAUACUUUUAUGGACUGUGAUGAAGAAACUGAUGCUGGUCUUAAAGAAAAUGGGGAUCAUGCUAAAGCAACCAGUGAUUCAUCUACUCCAAAAGAUGCAACAGAAAGAACAGAGGGUGAAGGUGCUGCAAAUGAAAAUCACCCUCAGUCUUCCCCGAUGAAGAUUUCAAUGCCAGAAGAUUCCAAUGAACUGAAAGUUGGUCAGGAAAUCAAUGAGAAUUUUGCACUAAAGGCACUCAAGGACGCAUUUGAAGCUGUGGGGUCUUUUCCUACACCUGGGAACCAAUUUUCAUUUGCUGAUGCUGGAAACCCUGUUAUGGCAUUGGCAGCAUUCCUGGUAAGAUUGGUGGAACCCAAUGUAGUUACUGCCAUGGCCUGUAAAUCUACAAAAUCCAUUUAUAGCAACUCUUUCAGCAUGCAGCUGGCUGCUAGGCAUUGUUUUCUUCUGGAAGAUCCUCCGGAUGACAAGAAAUCAGCUGAUUCUGACAGGGCUGCUACUGAAACAGUUGAGCAGGACACUCAGAAGAAUGAAAAAGAGAAUGAGAUAAAGCAGAAAGAGGAGAAGUCUAACUCAGUUUUGAAUGAUGGUGGUUUACCAAAUGAUCACAAUAAUGAAAAAGAUCAGGAUUCUAUUAGAGAAAAGAAGGAACUGUCAGGUUCUCCUGUUGAAUGUGUAGAGAAGUCUCACACUGUAAAUGAUACAGAUGUGAUAGGUACCCAUGAAAAGGGACAAUUCCAUUCUUUGAAUGAAUCCGAGAACCCAGAUAUGCCAAAAGACCAAGCAACAAGAGAUGCAAAAGAAUCAGAUUGCUUGGCAUCUGGAUCAGAGAUUUGUCCAAGUUCUUUGAAGGAUCCUGGUGAUAGAACUCCAGAUGUCAUCAGAAUUCAUGAUGAGGGAAGUCUUGUCUCUUUAACUGAAUCAGAUAAGCCAGAUUUGCCUAAUCACCCAUCAAGAGCUGGAAAAGAAUCCGAUGUCCUGAUACCCGAAAAAGAGGCGCCUUCAAAUUUUGAUAAGGUUCCAGGUGCUGGAGCUUCAGAUGAAGUGCCCUCACAAUGCACAGACUCUGCAAAGGAUGCAGUUGCAGUUCCAGAUUCUCUUCCUUCUGAUAAGGGAGAGCCUGAGGAGCCAAUCACAUCAAAUCCAAUUCCAAUUACUGAAAAUGGAAGAAAUACAGGCGAGGAAGAAACAAAAGAUUGUCACAAUUCUGAGAACGAAGCAUUUCCUAAGACCAAAGAUGACCACAAUAUUUAUAAAUUGAAGCGAGCUGCUGUCACUGCACUAUCAGCUGCAGCAGUGAAAGCAAAGCUUCUUGCGGACCAGGAAGAAGACCAAAUUCGACAGCUUGCUACCUUGUUGAUUGAUAGACAGUUACACAAGCUGGAAGCCAAAUUAAUGUUCUUUACUGAGAUGGAAAGUUUGGUAAUGAGGGUCAGGGAACAAAUGGAAAGGUCUAAGCAGAGGCUUUACCAAGAGCGAGCACAGAUAAUUGCAUCUCGUCUUGGUGCCUUUCCAGCUUCAUCUUCUAGACCUAUGCAACAAUCAUUACUUAUCAACAGAGCGGCUAUGGGUUUUGCUAACUCAGCAUUGAGGCCCCUAAUGAGCAUACCCUCUCAAAGACCACCAAUGUCAAGAUCCAUGAUGACAUCCAUUCCUACUACAAAUCCUUUUGUACCUGCUACAGCAUCAGGAAAUCCUGUUAGGCCUACCAACCAGGACAAAAUUUCUUCAGUUGUAACAAAAUAACUAUUUCAACGUGAAGAUAUAACCUCAUUCAGAAUUAGUGGUUCUUCACGACCAAUAUCUACCAAGGAUUGGAGGUUUUGAAAGAACCUGGAAAUUUUAUUAGGACAAUUUCUUGAUGGUGCUUUGAGUGAGGCGUUGUUUCAAGUGUCCUGGUGAAAUACCCAAUCAAGCAGGAUUUGCCUUUUUGGAUUGCAGCAUGCAUUGCAACUUCAGGAUAUGCGUGUCAAUAUGUGUGUGAAGGGUGAGGGGUUGGAGUGGGGGUAUAGGAGUCUCCAAUCAUCUUACUCUUUGGAUGAGCUGCAUGGACAUCGAGCUUUUUUGUCUGCAGUUUGACCUUAAAGUUUCCUCUGGUCCUGCUCUUUUUUGUAUGGCCACCACGUGUCUAGGAUAGAUUUAGCAGAUAAUUGUUUCCAUGGUGUUUCCAUUUAUUGUAUGUUGUUUUUGGUGUAUGGGUAUGUGUUUGUGCCAUUUUUUCUCUUUCGUGUAGUUCCCCUAAUAUUAUUCUUAUGCUUUUAACAAGGAAUUCUUAAUUGCUUAACUUGAAUUA